CCUAAAUGUUGGUUUCUUCAUCAAGCGGCGGAAUAACGCAUCAGGGCAGGUGACCCACGUCACCGGGGUGAUGCACUGGUGCUCGCCGGGGCGGGCGCUGUGCCUGCGGGAGCCGCGCGGCCGGCGCGGUGUCGGGGCGCCUCAUGGGGGCCGAGCCGCGCCCGCACGUCCCUCAGAACUCUCAGUGAGUGUCAGAUCAACACAUUCAUCCACCAUAUCCCGUGUGUAAAGAACAAUCCAUCACUCCUGACCUAAUCCAGCACAGAACAGAACUUCUGGAAGAGGACUAAAGAAGAGAAAGAGUGGAAGUGUCACAUGCCCAGAGGAAAAUAGAUGCGACAGAGAUGAAUAAAACAAAACAAA
rnacentral:lncRNA from 1 species